AGCGAACAUUGGCGGUAGGCUUAACACAUGCAAGUCGAGCGAGGCGUAAUAGUCGAGCGGCGAACGGGUGCGUAAUACAUGGGAAUCUACCCUGAAGUGGGGGAUAACGUUCAGAAAUGGACGCUAAUACCGCAUAAUCCACAUUGGGAAAGCGUUGCAGCGCUUUAGGAUGAGCCCAUGGCUGAUUAGCUAGUUGGUGAGGUAAUGGCUCACCAAGGCGACGAUCAGUAGCUGGUCUGAGAGGAUGACCAGCCACACUGGAACUGAGACACGGCCCAGACUCCUACGGGGGGCAGCAGUGGGGAAUCUUGCGCAAUGGGGGCAACCCUGACGAAGCCAUACCGCGUGAGUGAUGAAGGUCUUCGGAUUGUAAAGCUCUUUCGGGGGGGACGACGAUGCCGGUACCCGAAAAAGAAGUCACGGCUAACUUCGUGCCAGCCCCCGCCGUAA
rnacentral:rRNA from 1 species